GAAGGGGCUCAGUCUCCAAGACCAUCUCCCACUUCAAGUUCCAGCUGACACGGGGCUCUUCCACUGAGGACACUACUGCAUUCCCUGCCUUUGGACCCUGCAGCCAGCAACUCUCUCUAUCAGUAGCCCAUGGCAGAGGUUCCAGUGUCUUUGGAAGCCAAAUGCUGAAGGAUGCUGCAUGAAAGCCCGCUUUGUGGGGGGACCCCAGGGACAGAGAAGCCCGUGAUCACCACCAAUGAUGGCAGGAGCUGCAUCCCUGGACACAUCUCCCCUCUGCUGUUCUGGCUCCAUAUGGUGAUUCGUCAGAACAGCUUGUGGCAGCAGGACCAGGCUGACCUUUGGAAAUAACGGAGCAGCAGCCCUAGCAGGGCUAGAAA